CCUCUUCCAAUAGCCAUGACAAGCUCACUCUCUGGAACCAAGCUCCCUGGGUGCUCACUCCCAUUGGGUGUCGGGUUUCGAGAGCAGCCAAUCAGCGUCGCCACGGUUCCCGGUUUUAAAGUUCCCGCGGACACACCCGGACUCCGAGUCUCUACAGACUCCAAGGAUGGGAUCUUGGCGCCCCGAACCCUCCUCCUGCUGCUCUCGGGGGCGCUGGCCCUGACCGAGACCUGGGCAGUGUCCCGGCCCGGCCGCGGGGAGCCCCACUUCAUCUACGUGGCCUAAGUGGACGACACGCAGUUCGUGCGAUUCGACAGCGACGCGGCGAUUCCGAGGAUGGAGCCGCUGGCGCCGUGGGUGGAGCCGGAGUGUUGGGGGCGGGAGACACGAGGCGCCAAGACCCACGCAGAGAAUUUCCAAGUGAACCUGCGGACCCUGCUCCGCCACUACAACCCGAGCGAGGCCGGUGAGUGACCCCGGCGCGGGGCGCAGGUCACGACCCCUCUCCAUCCCCAACGGAGGGCCCGGGUCGUCCCCGAGUCUCCAGGUCCGAGAUCCACCCGGAGGCUGCGGGACCCGCCCCGAUCCUCCACCCAGGAGAGCCCCAGGCGCCUUUACCCGGUUUCAUUUUCGGUUUGGGCCCAAAUCCCUGUGGGUUGGUCGGGGUGGGGCGGGGCGGGGCUGACCGCGGGGGCGGGGCCAGGGUCUCGCCAUCCCGGAGUUGUAUGGCUGCGACCUGGGGCCACAUGGGCGCUUCCUCCGCGGGUAUGACCAGUUAGCCUACGAUGGCAAGGAUUACCUCGCCCUGAACGAGGACCUGCGCUCCUGGACCGCGGCGAACACCGCGGCUCAGAUCUCCCGGCGCAAGUGGGAGGUGACCCUUGAGGUGGAGAGGGUGAGAGCCUACCUGGAGGACAGGUGCCUGGAGUGGCUCCGCAGAUACCUGGAGAACGGGAAGGAGAUGCUGCAGCGCGCGGAACCCCCAAAGACACAUGUGACCCACCACCGCAUCUCUGACCAUGAGGCCAUCCUGAGGUGCUGGGCCCUGGGCUUCUACCCUGCGGAGAUCACACUGACCUGGCAGUGGGAUGGGGAGGACCAAACUCAGGACACCGAGCUUGUGGAGACCAGGCCAGCAGGGGACGGAACCUUCCAGAAGUGGGCAGCUGUGGUGGUGCCUUCUGGAGAGGAGCAGAGAUACAUGUGCCAUGUGCAGCAUGAGGAGUUGCUGGAGCCCCUCACCCUGAGAUGGGAGCAGUCUUCCCAGCCCACCAUCCUCAUCGCAGCCAUCAUUGCUGGCCUGAUUGUCCUUGGAGCUGUGGUCACUAGAGCUGUGGUUGCUGCUGUGAUGUGGAGGAAGAAAAGCUCAGGUGGAAAAGGAGGGAGCUACUCUCAGGCUGCGUGAGCAAUAGUGCCCAGGGCUCUGAUGUGUCUCUCAGGAAUUGUAAAGCCUAAGACAGCUGCUUUUUGUGGUACUAAGAUAAUGGGAUUUCCUCAUGCCUCCCCUUUGUGACAUCAAGAGCCUCUGGCAUCUCUUUCUGCAAAGGCAUCUGAAUGUGUCUGCGUCCCUGUUAGCACAAUGUGAGGAGGUGGAGAAACAGCCCAUCCCCGUGUCCACCGUGACCCUCGUAUCCACACUGACUUGCAUUCCUUCCCUAAUCAUCUUUCCUGUUCCAGAGAGGUGGGGAUGGAUGUCUGCAUCUCUGUCUCAACUUCGUGGUGCGCUGAGCUGCAACCUGUUACUUGGCUAGUGAAAAUAAGAAUCUGAAUAUAAAUUUGUGUUUUCUCAAAUUCUUGCCAUGAGAGGUUGAUGGAUUAAUUAAAGGAGAUGAUGCCUAAAAUUAGAGGAAUUAAAGACCUGAGAACCUUCCAGAA